UAGGGAAUCUUCGGCAAUGGGGGCAACCCUGACCGAGCAACGCCGCGUGAGUGAAGAAGGUUUUCGGAUCGUAAAGCUCUGUUGUAAGAGAAGAACGUGUGUGAGAGUGGAAAGUUCACACAGUGACGGUAACUUACCAGAAGGGGACGGCUAACUACGUGCCAGCAGCCGCGGUAAUACGUAGUUCCCGAGCGUUGUCCGGAUUUAUUGGGCGUAAAGCGAGCGCAGGCGGUUUAAUAAGUCUGAAGUUAAAGGCAGUGGCUUAACCAUUGUUCGCUUUGGAAACUGUUAAACUUGAGUGCAGAAGGGGAGAGUGGAAUUCCAUGUGUAGCGGUGAAAUGCGUAGAUAUAUGGAGGAACACCGGUGGCGAAAGCGGCUCUCUGGUCUGUAACUGACGCUGAGGCUCGAAAGCGUGGGGAGCAAACAGG
rnacentral:rRNA from 1 species